rnacentral:rRNA from 1 species
AUUUAACGCUGGCGGCAGGCCUAACACAUGCAAGUCGAACGGAUGAAGGGAGCUUGCUACUGGAUUCAGCGGCGGACGGGAGAGUAAUGCCUAGGAAUCUCCCUGGGAGUGGGUGAAACGGACCGAAACCGGCGGUCAUAACCCACACGGCCCUCGGGAAAAAGGGGGGGAUCCUUGGGGCCCUCGCAUUCCGAGGAGGCCAGGGCGGGUUAGCCAGUUGGGGGGGUAAAGGGCUAACAAGGCGACGAGCCGGAACAGGUCUGAGAGGAGGAUCAGCCACACUGGAACUGAGACACGGUCCAGACUCCGACGGGAGGCAGCCGUGGGGAAUAUUGGACGAUGGGCGAAAGCCUGAUCCAGCCAUGCCGCGUGUGUGAAGAAGGUCUUCGGAUUGUAAAGCACUUUAAGUUGGGAGGAAGGGCAGUAAGUUAAUACCUUGCUGUUUUGACGGUACCAACAGAAUAAGCACCGGCUAACUUCGUG